UACGUAGGGGGCAAGCGUUAUCCGGAUUUACUGGGUGUAAAGGGAGCGUAGACGGCUGUGCAAGUCUGAAGUGAAAGACAUGGGCUCAACCUGUGGACUGCUUUGGAAACUGUGCAGCUAGAGUGUCGGAGAGGUAAGUGGAAUUCCUAGUGUAGCGGUGAAAUGCGUAGAUAUUAGGAGGAACACCAGUGGCGAAGGCGGCUUACUGGACGAUGACUGACGUUGAGGCUCGAAAGCGUGGGGAGCAAACAGG
rnacentral:rRNA from 1 species